rnacentral:rRNA from 1 species
AUUGAACGCUGGCGGCAUGCUUUACACAUGCAAGUCGAACGGCAGCAUGGGUGCUUGCACCUGAUGGCGAGUGGCGAACGGGUGAGUAAUGUAUCGGAACAUAUCCGCAAGUGGGGGAUAACGUAGCGAAAGUUACGCUAAUACCGCAUAUUCCCUGAGGGGGAAAGGAGGGGAUCCGCAAGGACCUUUCGCUUACGGAGUGGCCGAUAUCAGAUUAGCUAGUUGGUGGGGUAAAGGCCUACCAAGGCGACGAUCUGUAGCGGGUCUGAGAGGAUGAUCCGCCACACUGGGACUGAGGCACGGCCCAGACUCCUACGGGAGGCAGCAGUGGGGAAUUUUGGACAAUGGGGGCAACCCUGAUCCGGCCAUGCCGCGUGAGUGAAGAAGGCCUUCGGGUUGUAAAGCUCUUUCAGCUGGAAAAAAAUCGCAUCACCUAAUACGUGGUGUGGAUGAUGGUACCAGCAGAAGAAGCACCGGCUAACUACGUGCCAGCAGCCGCGGUAACAC